AUUGAACGCUGGCGGCAGGCCUAACACAUGCAAGUCGAACGAGUGGCGGACGGGUGGGUACUGUCUGGGAAACUGCCUGCUGGAAGGGGAUAACUACUGGACACGGUAGCUAAUACCGCAUACCAUCGGAUGUCCCCAGAUGGGAUUAGCUAGUAGGUGGGGUAACGGCUCACCUAGGCGACGAUCCCUAGCUGGUCUGAGAGGAGGACCAGCCACACUGGAACGGAGACACGGGCCAGACGCCUACGGUAGGCAGCAGUGGGGAAUAUUGCACAAUGGGCGCAAGCCUGAUACAGCCAUGCAGCGUGUAUGAAGAAGGCCUUCGGGUUGUAAAGUACUUUCAGCGGGGAGGCGUUACCCGCAGAAGAAGCACCGGCUAACUCCGUGCCAGCCGCCGCGGUAAUUC
rnacentral:rRNA from 1 species